rfam:Triticum aestivum genome assembly, contig: Triticum_aestivum_CS42_TGACv1_scaffold_436048_5DL
AUCCUACUCCCUCCGUCCCAAAAUUCUUGUCUUAGAUUUGUCUAAUAUGGAUGUAUCAAGUCAUGUUUUAGUAUUAGAUACAUCCGUAUCUAGACAAAUUUAAGACAAGAAUUUUGGGACGGAGGGAGUAUUUG